AACGAACGCUGGCGGCGUGCUUAACACAUGCAAGUCGAACGAGAAAGUCCUUCGGGGCGAGUAAAGUGGCGCAAGGGUGAGUAACACGUGAACAAUCUACCUCUGAUACUGGGAUAACUUGGUGAAAACCACGCUAAUACCGGAUAAGACCACGUCUCAUAAGGGAUGCGGUAAAAGGAAUCUCAACUUCCGAUCAUUGAUGAGUUCGCGGACCAUUAGCUAGUUGGUGAGAUAAAAGCUCACCAAGGCUAUGAUGGUUAGCCGGCCUGAGAGGGUGAACGGCCACACUGGAACUGAGACACGGUCCAG
rnacentral:rRNA from 1 species